rnacentral:rRNA from 1 species
UACGAAGGGGGCUAGCGUUGCUCGGAAUUACUGGGUGUAAAGCGCACGUAGGCGGCUUUCUAAGUCGGAGGUGAAAUCCUGGAGCUCAACUCCAGAACUGCCUUCGAUACUGGAGAGCUUGAGUCCGGGAGAGGUGAGUGGAACUGCGAGUGUAGAGGUGAAAUUCGUAGAUAUUCGCAAGAACACCAGUGGCGAAGGCGGCUCACUGGCCCGGUACUGACGCUGAGGUGCGAAAGCGUGGGGAGCAAACAGG